UACGUAGGGACCUAGCGUUGUCCGGAAUCAUUGGGCGUAAAGCGCGCGUAGGCGGCCCGGUAAGUCCGUUGUAAAAGUCGAAGGCUCAACCUUCGAAAGCCGAUGGAUACUGCCGGGCUAGAGUCCGGAAGAGGCGAGUAGAAUUCCUGGUGUAGCGGUGGAAUGCGCAGAUAUCAGGAGGAAUACCCAUAGCGAAGGCAGCUCGCUGGGACGGUAUUGACGCUGAGGCGCGAAAGCGUGGGGAGCGAACAGG
rnacentral:rRNA from 1 species